rnacentral:rRNA from 1 species
ACGGAAGGCAGCAGUGGGGAAUAUUGCACAAUGGGGGAAACCCUGAUGCAGCAACGCCACGUGUGGGAAGAAGCAUUUCGGUGUGUAAACCACUGUCGUGAGGGAAUAAUGCUUGGUCUCGGCCAAGUUGAAUGUACCUCGAAAGGAAGCACCGGCAAACUUCGUGCCAGCAGCCGCGGUAAUACGAGGGGUGCAAGCGUUGUUCGGAAUCACUGGGCGUAAAGGGAGCGCAGGCGGAGAUGCAAGCAGUCUGUACAAUACCGGGGCCCAACCCCGGACCUGCAGACUGGACUGGUUCUCUUGGAUAGUUCAGGGGCAAGCGGAAUUCCUGGUGUAGCGGUGGAAUGCGUAGAGAUCAGGAAGAACACCGAUGGCGAAGGCAGCUUGCUGGGGACUUAUCGACGCUCAUGCUCGAAAGUGCGGGUAGCAAGCAGGAUUAGAUACCCUGGUA